GACGAACGCUGGCGGCGUGCCUAACACAUGCAAGUCGAGCGAAGUGUUUAGGACUGAUCCCUUCGGGGUGAAGACCUAAACAUCUUAGCGGCGGACGGGUGAGUAACGCGUGAGAAACCUGCCUUUCACAAAGGAAUAGCCUCGGGAAACUGGGAUUAAUACCUUAUGAUACUUUUAGUUCACAUGAACCUAAAGUUAAACGUAAAGUGGUGAAAGAUGGUCUCACGUCCCAUUAGUUAGUUGGUGAGGUAAUGGCUCACCAAGACAGCGAUGGGUAGCCGGCCUGAGAGGGUGAUCGGCCACACUGGAACUGAGACACGGUCCAGACUCCUACGGGAGGCUG
rnacentral:rRNA from 1 species